rnacentral:lncRNA from 10 species
AGUUUUAGAUUGAUUGGCAGAAAAGUAAAACAAACGAGGCUGGUCUAGAUCAACAUUUCCUAGAAUACAUAUAGGUAUGAGACAUAUAUGAUCAUAUUUCUGGGAUCCUAAGGGUCUGUCAACUUUGAGACACCUCAAAAAUAUUUUUGGGGGAGAAGUGAAGGUAAGGCAUUACCAAUUUUAAGGUGCAACUGAACUUUAGAAAUAUUAAAAACAUGAAAAUUGUCCAAACCCAAUGAACAAAGACAGAAAACUUCAUCUCUUAUCUUCUAUUCUCUACCUAAGCUCCCAAGCAAGGCAACUGGAAGGCCAACCUUCUCCAUCAUGGGCUUCCUCCUCAGUUUUACUAGUAGGAAGUUUUACUAGUUUUACUAGUUGUAUAAACUUUUGAGUUUAGGAUUUUGGAAGUUCAGGGUGGAGCUCUAAGAAGUCCUCUAUGUAAUCCCAGCACUUUGGGAGGCCUACGUCAGUGGAUCAUGAGGUCAGGAGAUCGAGACCAUUCCGGCUAACACGGUGAAACCCCGUCUCUACUAAAAAUCCAAAAAAUUAGCUGGGCGUGGUGGCACACACCUGUAGUCCCAGCUACUCAGGAGGCUGAGGCAGGA